GCUCUACGGCCACAGCCGGCUCCCAGAUGGACAGCUAUCUUUGACUGCGGGCCCCAUCCCUUCGUGCUGCUAUGGAGCUUUCCAGUGUGCACACGCGUGUCCGGCUGGUGGCGGAGGCGUCGCUGGCCGUGCUGGAAAUGCUGGUGAAACAACGAAUUCCAUAGCUCUAAAACGCGAGAAACGGGGGGAGAGCAGAAAGGGGCUGUCGCAGCCUCGGCAGUAGCGUCUUCCAUGCUCCUUGGGACUUUCGGAGAUCUGUGUUUGUCGCCUACAGAGAUAGAGUAGCUCGAGCGUGAAUGGUUUUGUAGGUUCGAAGCUUUAGGGGAGUGCUAUCAUCAGUGGCGAGUCCUGUGCCCCAGAGGGCAGCACCGCUUCGGGCUCCGGAGCUCUUUCAGCCUCGGCCGUUCUUAGCCUUCCUCUCCCCGGCUGUGAGCUCCCUUCAGCAGUAGCAGGGGACCGAAAUGACCCAUUGAUAGACUUGAGAGAAGGCUUGGGUAAUAUGGCACCACUCCUUCAAAUGCUUGCAGGCAUGUUCAGUAUUAGCAGUGAAUUUCACAUGUGCUUUUAAAAUAAUUCAAAAUAUACCUUGGGCAAACCCUUUA